rnacentral:lncRNA from 1 species
UUUUUUUUUUUGUUGUUGUUGUUGUUUUGGGGUUUUGGUUUUGGGUUUUUUUUUUCCCCUUAAUCUACAUGCAUUUAAUAUUUUUUCAGUCCAUCUUAAUCUCUCACAGUUGUUCCAUGUACAAUCCUGCAGUAACACUCUAUUUCAUGAAGAGAUUUUAAUCUAUGCCUGGUUCAAUGAUGACUCAUUUUACAUAAUCCUUGGAAGAAGGAUUUUACUUCUCUGUCUAUUCAGUUAUUGCAAAGUUGUUCAUAAGCCCGUCAUAAAACUCUAUUAAUAGACGUAACUGAAAUCACUUCUAACUUUUGUCAGGUCAAAUACUAAAUAACUGAAGCUUCUUCAUUUUUCUCAAAAUAGAGAUGUGGAGGAGUUACAACAUCUCAACUGGUUCUGUGUUGUUUUCUGAAUGAUGACCGGUUUGAAAUUCUGAAGACCCCGUAUUUCCCUGAGCAGCGAUGCCUGUGAGCCACGUUGUCUAUUUAUGCCAGCUUUCUUACAGCUUCUACAGGCUGUAACUGAGCAAAACAACCUGCAUUGUGCAACUGCUUCUCUGCAGUGAAGACACACAGUGUUCAAGUGCUUUUUGUAUUGUUUUCCACUGAAUGCCCAGCUGCUUCAUUAUUGGUAUCACACAGUGCUGCUGCAGCUCCCUAGCAUCUUCAACACAAGACCCACCUGCAGCAUUACAGUCAAACUGGUCUCAGUCAAAUGAUGAUUCACCCUGACCCAUACAAUUUAAAAUCUGCCAGAAAUGGGAAGGUUCUUCAUUUUUUUAGUUUCUUCUUGUAGACACAAAAGUGGGGCUGGUUGGGGUUUUUUCUUAAUUCUGUAAGGGAGGAACCCCCUCUCCCCCAUCAUUCAUCAAUAGAACUGGAGCUAAAUGGUCUCACAAUUUUCCUGUUUCAUUGUUUGGUGUGUCGUGUCCCCCUUCAUCUUAGUAGGAUAUAUUACUCUACAGAAGCUAUACACUUCGCGGUUUCAUACAAGGUAUUAUACUGGUAGCAAAACCUCAGUCUUUUUGUAUAAUAUUAGCUAUUUUUUCUGAAGGAAAAAAAAAA